CCCCAGUAACGGCGAGUGAAGCGGCAACAGCUCAAAUUUGAAAUCUGGCUCUCGGGCCCGAGUUGUAAUUUGUAGAGGAUGCUUUUGGUGAGGUGCCUUCCGAGUUCCCUGGAACGGGACGCCAUAGAGGGUGAGAGCCCCGUCUGGUUGGACACCGAUCCUCUGUAAAGCUCCUUCGACGAGUCGAGUAGUUUGGGAAUGCUGCUCUAAAUGGGAGGUAUAUGUCUUCUAAAGCUAAAUACCGGCCAGAGACCGAUAGCGCACAAGUAGAGUGAUCGAAAGAUGAAAAGAACUUUGAAAAGAGAGUUAAAAAGUACGUGAAAUUGUUGAAAGGGAAGCGCUUGUGACCAGACUUGGGCUUGGUUGAUCAUCCGGGGUUCUCCCCGGUGCACUCUUCCGGCUCAGGCCAGCAUCAGUUCGCCCUGGGGGAUAAAGGCUUCGGGAAUGUGGCUCUCUCCGGGGAGUGUUAUAGCCCGCUGCGUAAUACCCUGUGGCGGACUGAGGUUCGCGCAUUCGCAAGGAUGCUGGCGUAAUGGUCAUCAGUGACCCGUCUUGAAACACGGACCAAGGAGUCGUCUUCGUAUGCGAGUGUUCGGGUGUCAAACCCCUACGCGAAAUGAAAGUGAACGCAGGUGAGAGCUUCGGCGCAUCAUCGACCGAUCCUGAUGUUAUCGGAUGGAUUUGAGUAAGAGCAUACGGGGCCGGACCCGAAAGAA
rnacentral:rRNA from 1 species